GAUGAAGAACGCAGCGAAAUGCGAUAAGUAAUGUGAAUUGCAGAAUUCAGUGAAUCAUCGAAUCUUUGAACGCACAUUGCGCCCGCCAGUAUUCUGGCGGGCAUGCCUGUUCGAGCGUCAUUUCAACCAUCAAGCCCCCGGCUUGUGUUGGGGACCUGCGGCUGCCGCAGGCCCUGAAAACCAGUGGCGGGCUCGCUGUCACACCGAGCGUAGUAGAUUUUCAUCUCGCUCAGGGCGUGCUGCGGGUUCCGGCCGUAAAAAGCCUUAUUUACCCAAGGUUGACCUCGGAUCAGGUAGGAAGACCCGCUGAACUUAAGCAUAUCAAUAAGGGAGGA
rnacentral:misc_RNA from 1 species